AGUGUCUGGGUGUCUGUACCCUAAAUUCAGUUUUAUUUAAGCAUUUGGACCUUAUGGAGAGAACACAAGUAUGACUGCUGAGAAAUAUCACAGGCAGGAGUCAUCAGUCUGUGCCUGAUUAGCUUUUGUCUGCUGAACAUUCAAUACAGAGGAGGAGAAGGUCGAAGUCUGGGAAGCAACUCUGAGCCUAAUUAAAUUCAAGGUUAGGCUUUUGUAGUGAUUAAUUAGGACUCAACUAAUUAGAAAUUCUCUAAUAAGCUGUCGGGGCAGAGUAGUGAUGUCGUCUUUAAACUAAAAGCCUGAGGUUGAAAGGCGCCAUGCUGAGGAGUACUCUGCCACCUCCAAAGACCUGCUGUAGAGGAAAAAUGCUCUCUAGCCUUUGUGUGAAACUGCAAACAGACGCCGGCUGCAGUAACAACCACAGCUACAGAAAAUAGCCACAAGUUAAAAUGUUGGUGCAGAGAUACACCCACAGUCGGCGGGCAGAGAUAAGAGACCUUCUGAGAAGACUCCACCGCUGGGUCAGCAUGAGGUCAUGUAUGCCCUCCCAAACACAGUGUGAUCAGGGAGGGGAGGGGAGGGGAGGGGAGGAGGGGUGAGGGUGAAAGAGGAAGAAAAACUCAGAUGGUCAUUUUUGGCUGCAAAAUGCAAACUUUGCAUAAGGACAACCUUUCAACCCGUUGUCUGCAGUGGUCAACAUGUGCAGGUCUACGUCUGCAGUUUUUGUGGCUUUUAUUCUUUCUGCAUGCUUUUCAAUAUCUUACAGAAAUAACAACCACUGCUGGCAUAUUUAUUCAGCUGUACCUAAUUAGGGUUAAUUCCAUAAGUUGGCCAGUUGGAAAGAAGAGGCCACUGUCUGUUUAGAGCCCUAUCCACAGUGUAGGCUCAACCAAAGAAGGCCUCUUAUCACAUUUCAAGCAAGUGAUCGUAAAGUCCAAAACAGAUGUAGCCGACUGUGUCCCAUUAUUUUCAAGUAGUGUGCAACAUAAUCCCCAUGUGCAAAUGAAAACUAGCCAAUUAGGAAUAGUGGUAAUAGUGUAAAUUUUUUUUUAACUUUGCUCAGUUUAAACUGUGUAUUUACAGGCUUAAGCUUAUUCAGAAAACAUGAACCUUCAAGCUCUAUUAGAUGUCUUAGCUCAGCUUAGCUUAGUUUCCAUAAUAUUUUGAGUGAUGUAAAAAGAGAUUAAAAUGUUACCAUGGAACCAGUGAGUUAGCUUUGGGCUACACCUGCGCCUCAUGUCUUUAGGCUGUAUGUGUUUAUAUUCUGAUGAAUCUGCAGACCUGCUAUACUGAUGGAAACUGGCAAAAGCUCUAAAUCACAACCUUAAGUCAGUCUGUGAAGCUAAUAUUAGCUCAGACAGCUAUGGUAUAAGCAGAGCUGUCAAUAGUAUCUUUUAGUCAUCGACACUGACAGGCUGUUAUCUAGUGGAUGAAAGUAAGAACAGGAAGCUGGAGUGAAACAAAACUCCAAACAGACAGAUUUGCUCAUGACUGCUCAUCAGUCACACAAAACUCCUGACACACAAAGCUACAGCUAAAGCAUGAAAUGUUGAGAGAGGAUGAGGAGGAAAUACAGAGAGAGAGAGAGAGACUGAACAACACAGAAUUAAAAACAAACAACUAAAGGAAAAAGAAACUAAAGAAACGGGGGAAAGAUAGAUGAGGUGUGUGUUAAUAUGAGGGCAGACCCAGCAGGUCACCUCCAGCCUGUCUCCUCUAACGCCUCCUCUCCCAGCUUGAGGUGACCUUCACUGGGCAGCGCAGUCCCACCGGGGGACACGAGGUAAAUAAAGCACCGCUGAGCCACAGCCCAGAUAACAACAUGGUUGCUGUGGAUCUCUUCAUUAAAAAAGAGGAGAGGUUUGGAGCCACAGUGUUUACUACAGUGAGAAGAGACAGAGACGAGGAGUGAAAAUGUUAAAGGAGGGAGGUUUCUUUGUGAACAGUGGGUCGCAUUCAGAAAAUGUCACUCUGCAAAAUGUCACACCUCCCUCUUCAUCCUCGUCCUCCUCCUCCUCCUCCUCCUCCUGUCUGAGCUCAGCAGAUUGUCUGUGCCAGGACGAACUGAAGCCUCACAAAAGGUCAGAUUUUUCCUUUUCCUUCCUCAAACAGAUGCGUAUUGUUGUUGGAGGAGGAAAGUAACGUGGCAGGCCAGAGUGGGUUUAAGUGUAUAUGAGUAUUUCAGAUGGAAAAAUGACGUUUCAGAUCUGUCGUUUCAGUUUUCACACAUCAGUUUGUUUGAGGAAGCUAAUUAUUUUGCAGGGAGAGGAUCAGAGAUGGAGGCCACUGAUGAGAAGUGAAAUAAACAGAGAGGGAUUAGGAAGACUGUGGGUGUAAUGAAACUGUUCCCUGUUGUUGCAGAGAGGCAUAAGCUGAACGUUUUGUAAGAGACAAUAUGAAACAGAUGAGGACGGUUUCAUUUUCUCAAAAGACGACGCAGCUUCAUAAUGUUUAGACUAGGACUGAUUGAUUUUCUGUUGAAUCAUUGACUGUCUUACAUUCAAAUUCCCAAAACUGAUCUUUGCAACUCCACCUUCAACUGCUUCCUGUGCCCAUUUUGGUGUACAAUAUACAAGGAAAAUGUGUGAACAAUUAAGAUAAAAAUUAACAUUUUAAUUAAUUUAUAUUCAAAAGUAUAGUACUUUGCUUGUUGGCAGAAUAAAUUCACUUUUAGCUCUUCCAAAUUUUGCAGUUUUGUUGUUUCAGUGCCGAUAUCCAGCCCUGGUUAUCAAUAAAAGCUACUCUAAACGA